CUGCAAACACCACCUGGGUUCACCGUCCUGUUGAGGACCCAGUGAUUGGCAGUGUCAUUUCAGUAGUGGUUAUAGUCAUAGUCUUCAUCACCAUGGUUUCACUUGGAUGCACCAUGGAGGUGUCUAAGAUUAAGUAUCACCUCAUGAAACCUAAGGGGGUGGCUAUUGCAGUUGUGGCCCAGUAUGUGAUCAUGCCUCUUACAGCCUUUUGCUUGGCUAAGCGUUUUGGCCCCAGAGCGCGCCGCUGCCUGCUGCCUUGUGCUUUUCCGACCCUGGGACACGGGCCCUGACAGCGCGCUGUAGUGGCCGUGACCACUGGCGACAAAGAAAAACUGCUCUUCAUAGAAGACUCGCGCUCCGGGAGACGUUUCCUGGUCGACUCCGGCUCCCAGAAGAGCCUCCUUCCCCUGUCCGGCGCCGACGGUUUAGCAGCGGGCUGCGGACCGCAGCUUAUUGCAGCUAAUGGCUCUCCCAUUGCAACGUUCGGGGAAAGGUAGGGAUCAUUAUAAUGCUGAUUUUUACUGUGGUGACCUUGAUCUUAACCGCUAUUGGAAUCGGACACUACGUCCUGACUGUGCUGUCUCCUUCACUCUUGGCCAUCGCUGGUCUCAUGCCUUUGAUAGGCUACUGCUUUGGAUAUGUCUUUUCUGCAAUCUUCAGACUCAGCCACAGGGAGGGGAGGACCGUUUCCAUGGAAACAGGCUGUCAGAAUGUCCCGCUGUGCACCACCAUAUUGAAGGUAGCUUUCCCUGACGAAGUGGUGGGUCCUCUGUAUCUAUUCCCGACAGUCUACAUGGUGUUUCAGUUGUUGGAGGCAGCGAUGAUCAUCAUGCUGUUUUGGUGCUACCAAAGGUUUAAGAGAAAAGAGAAAGAAACUUACCAAGCUGCUGCCACUAGAGUGGAUCUGAAAGAGUCUGAUGUGUGAUGUCAAUUACCACUCAUAUAUUUCCCUAUUAGCAUGAACUCUUACACCAAAGGGGCUCCAAACGAAGUAAACAAAAAUCCUACAGCUUACUAAACAAACAGAAAAAUGUGCAUGAUUAUUAUACCAUAUUUUUAUCUGAAACCUGUAAAUGUAUUAGUAACUUCAGUUAUAAAACA